rnacentral:misc_RNA from 1 species
UACGGAGGGUGCAAGCGUUGUUCGGAAUUACUGGGCGUAAAGCGCACAUAGGCGGCGCAUCAAGUCAGGCGUGAAAGGCCUGGGCUCAACCUGGGAACGGCCUCUAAGACUGAUGAUCUCGAGUCCGGAAGAGGAUGGCGGAAUUCCCAGCGUAGAGGUGAAAUUCGUAGAUAUUGGGAAGAACACCGGUGGCGAAGGCGGCCAUCUGGUCCGGCACUGACGCUGAGGCGCGAAAGCGUGGGGAGCAAACAGG